CAACUGACGCUGAGNCACGAAAGUGUGGGGAGCAAACAGGAUUAGAUACCCUGGUAGUCCACACCGUAAACGAUGGAUACUAGGAGUUGGCAAAAAUAUUGUCGGUUCCGCAGUUAACGCAUUAAGUAUCCCACCUGGGGAGUACGACCGCAAGGUUAAAACUCAAAGGAAUUGACGGGGGCCCGCACAAGCAGUGGAGUAUGUGGUUUAAUUCGAAGCAACGCGAAGAACCUUACCAGGGCUUGACAUAUACAGGAAUAUAUAAGAGAUUAUAUAGCUCUACGGAGUCUGUAUACAGGUGGUGCAUGGUUGUCGUCAGCUCGUGUCGUGAAAUGUUGGGUUAAGUCCCGUAACGAGCGCAACCCCUAUGGCUAGUUGCUAACAUUAAGUUGAGGACUCUAGCAAGACUGCCGUUGUUAAAACGGAGGAAGGUGGGGACGACGUCAAAUCAUCAUGCCCUUUAUGUCCUGGGCUACACACGUACUACAAUGGGUAAGACAGAGGGAAGCGAAAGUGCGAACUGGAGCAAAACCCUAAACUUAUUCUCAGUUCGGAUUGGAGUCUGAAAUUCGGCUCCAUGAAGCUGGAAUUGCUAGUAAUGGCAGGUCAGCAUACUGCCGUGAAUACGUUCCCGGGCCUUGUACACACCGCCCGUCACACCAUG
rnacentral:rRNA from 1 species